rnacentral:rRNA from 1 species
AAAACAUUUUUCCCCCUAAGUAUUGGCGAUAGAAAAGGAAAUCACGGAGCCAUAGACUAAGUACCGCAAGGGAAAGCUGAAAGAGAGAUGAAACAGCCCAGUAAAGUUAUAUAAAGCAGAGAUUUAACCUUGUACCUUUUGCAUCAUGAUUUAGCUAGCACCCUUAAGCAAAGAGCCCUUUAGUUUAUUCCCCCGAAACUAGGUGAGCUACUUCAAGACAGCCUAUUAAUAGGGCAAACCCGUCUCUGUGGCAAAAGAGUGGGAAGAUCUUCGAGUAGAGGUGACAGACCUACCGAACCCAGUUAUAGCUGGUUGACUGAGAAUUGGAUAGAAGUUCAGCCUCCCGGCUUCUCCCUUCAUGUAAAUUCAAAAUUUAAACAGAUUACCAAGACAACCGAGAGAGUUAGUUAAAGGGGGUACAGCCCCUUUAAAAAAAGAUACAACUUUAACAGGCGGAUAAAGAUCAUAAUUAACCAAGGAAAUAUAUUUUAGUGGGCCUAAAAGCAGCCAUCCUGAAAGAAAGCGUUAAAGCUCAAAUAUAACAUUCCCCCCUUAUACUGAUUUCCCCAAUCUUAAUCCCCUCCUAAAUAUCAGUCUAUUCUAUGCCCCCAUAGAAGAAACUAUGCUAAUAUGAGUAAUAAGAGAACCCCUCUCUCCCCGCACAUGUGUAAAUCGGAACGGACCUCCCACCGAAAACUAACGGCCCCAAACCAAGAGGGCACUGAAAAUGAAACUUAAUAGAACUAGAAAAGGAUUCAAAACAAAACCGUUAAUUCUACACUGAUGUGCACCCAAGGAAAGACUAAAAGAAAAAGAAGGAACUCGGCAAACAAAAUUAUAAGCCUCGCCUGUUUACCAAAAACAUCGCCUCUUGCGAAAAAAGAAUAAGAGGUCCCGCCUGCCCAGUGACAACAGUUCAACGGCCGCGGUAUUUUGACCGUGCUAAGGUAGCGUAAUCACUUGUCUUUUAAAUGAAGACCUGUAUGAAUGGCAUAACGAGGGCUUAACUGUCUCCUUUUUCAAGUCAAUGAAAUUGAUCUCCCCGUGCAGAAGCGGGGAUAAACACAUAAGACGAGAAGACCCUAUGGAGCUUUAGAUGUUAAGACAGCCUAUGUUAAAAGUACCCAAUAAAGGAUUAAACUAAAUAGGCUCUGCCUAAAUGUCUUCGGUUGGGGCGACCUUGGGGAAACACAAAACCCCCACGAGGAACAGGAGCACUUAACCCUUGUAUUUACUACCCUCCUAGAAAUUAGAACUACACUUCUAAUAAACAGAACUUCUGACCAAAAAUGAUCCGGCAAAGCCGAUCAACGAACCAAGUUACCCUAGGGAUAACAGCGCAAU